rnacentral:rRNA from 1 species
GAUGAACGCUGGCGGCGUGCCUAAUACAUGCAAGUCGAGCGAACGGACGAGAAGCUUGCUUUUCUGAUGUUAGCGGCGGACGGGUGAGUAACACGUGGAUAACCUACCUAUAAGACUGGGAUAACUUCGGGAAACCGGAGCUAAUACCGGAUAAUAUUUUGAACCGCAUGGUUCAAAAGUGAAAGACGGUCUUGCUGUCACUUAUAGAUGGAUCCGCGCUGCAUUAGCUAGUUGGUAAGGUAACGGCUUACCAAGGCAACGAUGCAUAGCCGACCUGAGAGGGUGAUCGGCCACACUGGAACUGAGACACGGUCCAGACUCCUACGGGAGGCAGCAGUAGGGAAUCUUCCGCAAUGGGCGAAAGCCUGACGGAGCAACGCCGCGUGAGUGAUGAAGGUCUUCGGAUCGUAAAACUCUGUUAUUAGGGAAGAACAUAUGUGUAAGUAACUGUGCACAUCUUGACGGUACCUAAUCAGAAAGCCACGGCUAACUACGUGCCAGCAGCCGCGGUAAUACGUAGGUGGCAAGCGUUAUCCGGAAUUAUUGGGCGUAAAGCGCGCGUAGGCGGUUUUUUAAGUCUGAUGUGAAAGCCCACGGCUCAACCGUGGAGGGUCAUUGGAAACUGGAAAACUUGAGUGCAGAAGAGGAAAGUGGAAUUCCAUGUGUAGCGGUGAAAUGCGCGGAGAUGUGGAGGAACACCAGUGGCGAAGGCGACUUUCUGGUCUGUAACUGACGCUGAUGUGCGAAAGCGUGGGGAUCAAACAGGAUUAGAUACCCUGGUAGUCCACGCCGUAAACGAUGAGUGCUAAGUGUUAGGGGGUUUCCGCCCCUUAGUGCUGCAGCUAACGCAUUAAGCACUCCGCCUGGGGAGUACGACCGCAAGGUUGAAACUCAAAGGAAUUGACGGGGGCCCGCACAAGCGGUGGAGCAUGUGGUUUAAUUCGAAGCAACGCGAAGAACCUUACCAAAUCUUGACAUCCUUUGACAACUCUAGAGAUAGAGCCUUCCCCUUCGGGGGACAAAGUGACAGGUGGUGCAUGGUUGUCGUCAGCUCGUGUCGUGAGAUGUUGGGUUAAGUCCCGCAACGAGCGCAACCCUUAAGCUUAGUUGCCAUCAUUAAGUUGGGCACUCUAAGUUGACUGCCGGUGACAAACCGGAGGAAGGUGGGGAUGACGUCAAAUCAUCAUGCCCCUUAUGAUUUGGGCUACACACGUGCUACAAUGGACAAUACAAAGGGCAGCGAAACCGCGAGGUCAAGCAAAUCCCAUAAAGUUGUUCUCAGUUCGGAUUGUAGUCUGCAACUCGACUACAUGAAGCUGGAAUCGCUAGUAAUCGUAGAUCAGCAUGCUACGGUGAAUACGUUCCCGGGUCU